CGGCACGCCUAACACAUGCAAGUCGAGCGAGGUAGCAAUACCUAGCGGCAGACGGGUGAGUAACAUGUGGGAAUCUGCCUUUUGGUUCGGAACAACACGGGGAAACCUGUGCUAAUACCGGAUAAGUCCUAACGGAGAAAGUUUUAAUGCCAAAAGAUGAGCCCGCAUUUGAUUAGCUAGUUGGUAAGGUAAAAGCUUACCGAGGCGACAAUCAAUACGCUGAUUGAGAGGAUGAUCAGCCACACUGGGUACUGGACUACGGCCCAGACUCC
rnacentral:rRNA from 1 species